UCUCCGUAGGUGAACCUGCGGAGGGAUCAUUACUGAGUGAGGGCCCCCGGCCCGACCUCCAACCCUUUGUGUAUCUCGACCCUGUUGCCUCGGGGGCGACCCGGCCUUCGGGCGUCGGGCCCCCCGGCGGACCACUCAACUCUGCAUCUUUGCGUCUGAGUCGAAAUAUAAAUCAAUCAAAACUUUCAACAACGGAUCUCUUGGUUCCAGCAUCGAUGAAGAACGCAGC
rnacentral:misc_RNA from 1 species